rnacentral:rRNA from 1 species
AUUGAACGCUGGCGGCAUGCCUAACACAUGCAAGUCGAACGCGAAAGAGGGGCAACUCUCGAGUAGAGUGGCGGACGGGUGGGUAAUACGUAGGAAUCUGCCCUAGAGUGGGGGAUAACCUGUCGAAAGACGGGCUAAUACCGCAUAAUCUCUAUGGAGCAAAGGUGUCUUGUAGCAAUACAAGGUUUCGCUCUAGGAUGAGCCUACGUCGGAUUAGCUAGUUGGUAGGGUAAUGGCCUACCAAGGCAACGAUCCGUAGCUGGUCUGAGAGGACGAUCAGCCACACUGGAACUGAGACACGGUCCAGACUCCUGCGGGAGGCAGCAGUGGGGAAUAUUGGACAAUGGGGGAAACCCUGAUCCAGCAAUGCCGCGUGUGCGAUGAAGGCCUGCGGGUUGUAAAGCACUUUCGGUGGGGAAGAAAUACUCAAAGAUAAUACCUUUGAGUGCUGACGUUACCCAUAGAAGAAGCACCGGCAAACUCUGUGCCAGCCGCCGCGGUAA